rnacentral:rRNA from 1 species
CGGUAUCCUGACCGUGCAAAGGUAGCAUAAUCAUUUGCCUUUUAAUUAAAGGCUAGUAUGAAUGGAGAACUGAGGACUUCCCUGUCUCUUUUAUAUCCCUAUAAACUAACCUUCAGGUGAAGAGGCCUGAAUAAUAUUAAAAGACAAGAAGACCCUGUCGAGCUUAACUUUAUUACAUUAAAACUUUAUUUUUAUUUUAUAUACAAGUUUUGUUGGGGCGACAAAGGAGAAAAUAAAACCUCCUCGAUUACUAAAGACCCUUAGUCUCUCAUAAGAUCCAUUAUUUGAUCUUCUGAUUUAGCUACCGCAGGGAUAACAGACUUAUUUUCCUCAAGAGCCCAUAUCUACAGGAAAGUUUGGCACCUCGAUGUUGGCUUAGGGUAUCU